ACGACGAGGUUGAUAGGUUCGAGGUGGAAGUGCGGUAACGUAUGCAGCUGACGAAUACUAAUCGGUCGAGGGCUUAACCAAA
rnacentral:rRNA from 1 species